rnacentral:tRNA from 1 species
GCGCUUGUGGGUGACCUGGUAGAAGCCGACGCCGUCCUGGUCGGCGCCGUUGAAGUCGUGGUUGGCGGCGAGGCCGUACGACUUGGCCGACUGCACC